GGAAGUUUUAGGGAACCUGGACUUCCACAGAAAAAAAAGAAAGACGUUUUGGAGGCGAGAGAUCCAAAAUCAAGUUGUCAGCUGGGCCAUUCACCCUCUAAAACUCUGGGAGGACUUCCGAGGUGGUGGCGCGGCUGAGAACCUAUCUGACAGAGCAGGGGACACAGAUUUGACCCCUGGUCCAAGAAGACUGCUCCACAUGCCGUGGAGCAACUAAGGCCGUGUGCCACAGCUGCUGAGCCCAAGCUCUAGAGCCUGUUCUCCACAAGGAGAGAAGCCACCGCGAUGAGAAGUCCAAGCAUUGGAAUUAGAGAACGCCUGAGCACAGCAGCGAAGAUCCAGCACA